AUUUUGAAUGAAAACAAUUAUUUUGUUUAAAUACAUGUAAAACAUUUUAGCCGUUAAAAAAUUGGUCUGAAAUUAAAUAAAGCAUGAAAAAAUGCUCUGCUACGCAUGUGCAUGUAUAUUCAGUGUGUAUUCAUUUUCUUUCAUCUAUUUAAAAGGCCCUUUUCAGUAUCCUCCUUCAGCAUAUCGGGCAAAUGUGUCUUAAGUGGUAGGACAGCAGUGGAUGAUGUCGCCAGAAAUAGGCGACUUCAAUUCUACUGGGUGCCAGGCCACAAGGGCAUAGAAGGUAACGAGAUAGUGGACGAGAUUGCCAAAUGAGGCGUAAAACUGUCAUCCGAAAAUAUGAUGAACGUAGAUAGACCUAUACACUGUCUAUAUGAUGAUCUAGACAGAAACUUGGUAAAAAAGUUCAAAGCGCGCUGGAAGAAUAUACCGGGAUGCAAAAUCGCAAAAGUUAUGUGCAAGGCGGUAGAUAAGAAGUACACGAAAUUUCUAUUGGCGCGCGAUAGAAGCAAAAGUAGGAAUAUGGUCGGCAUACUCACUGGCCACUGUCUUGUGGCGGCGCACGCCUACAAGAUGGGGCUGAUAGAUCGUGAAGACUGCACGAAAUGUCAAGAGCAAGGCACUAGAGAAACAAUGGAGCACCUCUUCUGUGAAUGUCCUGCAUUAUCUAGACAAGGGCUUCAGCAUUUGCGAGCUACACAUUACGUUAGUCUGGAAGACAUUUCUUUGGUGAAGCCACAAAGCCUUUUGAAAUGCGCAACAAGCGCUGGCAUUCUAAGGGUUGAUUACUCCUCAUUAACUAAGUGACGGCACUCCACCUGGUAUCACAAAGGACCAAAACUGGUCUAUGUGUGGCUUUUUAGCCUGCCAGAGUAACCUAACCUAACCUAAUAGGACCUUUGGAAGUUAGUUUAAAUUUCAAAACUCUGACCGCCCUUUUCUCGAAACUCAAUUUUUUAAGCCGAUGAACACGAUUUCUCGAAAAGUUAAGAAGCGAUUUUGUUCAGAUUUUGCAUAAAAUUUUAACUAACAUUAUCUAGUUACUAGACGAAGGAUUUAUAUUUUUUAUUAUAACUAACUAAUUAACGAAACUUUUACGAAAAAAUAUUGUUUGGCCAGAACAUUUUAUUUCUGAAAUUCUUAAAAAAAAUUUCACAAAAUACAGAAACUCACCUAACCCCUUGGAUGCACAAUUAGUGUAGAGUCUGUUGUCUUUAUAAUACAAUUUUUCAUAAAUUAAUUUUUACUUUUUACACAUUUUUCAACAAAAUCGGCGACCCAAAUUCUCAAUGUUGGAAGCGCCACAAAAAUCGCAAAUAUUAACCUUCUAAGUAAACCAAAUGAAGUAAAUUAUUUACAGAAUAUGCACAAGAGCAAAUGUACGCGCUAAUAGUGGCAAUAAUAUUGUGCAAUCACGCACAGCUAAAUCACUUGUUUAUUGUACUUUUUAUGCCGACAACAAACAGCGCAGAGCAGACAAUUGGAUGGCGGCAAUGAGUGCACUUGAAGUGGCGCGAAUUACAUGCACCCACCCACCAAACACAAUUGCGUACAACAAAUACAACAAUAUAAAAAUGAAAAUUCUUAAAUUCCAUGUUUUUGUUGUGUUUUUCUUUUAAUUUUUUUUUGUCAUUGUUUAAAAUAUUUUGUUUAUUAAUAGUUCAAGUCUCUAAAUUAAUGCCAUAAGCUUGUCAUUACGCAUACCAGCCAGCGAAACUGCAAAAAGACGUGCCGCUGACAGAAGUACGCACAGUAGCAGACAUUAUAGCCACACUUGGAGAAACAGUUGUUGUAAUCUCGCGCUGUAGUUGUACUAGACUAAUAAUAUAUAGUACAUUUUUAAAUUUGUUUCCCUUCUUCUCCAUAUAUUUCGCUUGAACAAAAGCCACAAGAGCCGUUUACAAUUUAUAAAUUUCGAAUACUUGAAGAAGAAGUCUACAUUAUAUUCAACUGUUCUAUCGAAAUCACAUGCGUGCAAAAUCAUAUCUCAGCCCAUUAAGACGAAACUAGCUUGCUGAUAGUUUUUGCAAGCGUCUUUGUACUCUUUCUUUGCACUAAAAGUGAUCACAGUUUGCUGGGAUCCAAAUGUAAGGAAGCAUUUGUCAGAGUGCUGUGAAUUAACUAUUGGACAUGCGCUUGUUCGCGGCUCAUUUACAAUGUUGUGUGCUAAAAUAUUGCCAUUGUCGACUGGCCAACGGUGCGCUGUUGACAGCCGCACAGCUGUUCGAAAUGCCGCUGUUGAUACCACACAAAGCGAUUAUGACGGCAGCAUACCAGAGUCGCGCCCUUGUUGCGCUGCCAUCACUGUAUAAAGCCAAAUAAAUACUUUGCAACGGCGUGGAAAUAUAUUAGUAAUACAUACAUAUCUACACUGCGCAAUGCGUGUCUGUGUGUCAUUUCCACUGAAACAAUUUGUUUAUUGUCGAAUAACUCCACUUUUGGGCACCGCUGUUGUUCAAUGUACUUGCAUGUUGCCUAUGUUGUUGUAUGUAUAUGCGCGUCUCUGUGACCGUUCGCGUUUCAUUCGCAUCUAUUAAUGCUUGCGAAAAAUUUAUCACCCAAAUUUAUUGCCGUAGUAAAUUCGUCUAAAAUAGCACAAAACUGAAUUUAUGUUAAUUCUGCGCUUCGCCUUGUAGCUCAUUUUUUUGGAGCGAAACCGUUUAUUUGAGUUUAUUAUUGUCCAUUUUUUAGACCCCUACACAACAUGUUGCACAAGCGUUUGCCCGUUUUGUUGUACUCAAUGCUCACAAAAAUAGUAGAAGGAAAUUUAAGUAGUCAUAACAGACAUAAGUAGGCAUAAAUUUUGACCUCCUUGGAACCUUUUAAGCUUUAUAUCUUAUUCUUUGGUGCCUCCGUAAAUAUAUCAAGCGUUCUGUCGGAUAAUUUUAUAAUAUUCUCCACUCCAAAUUUCAAAAUUAAUCAAUAUAUUUAUUAAUAAAUACUUAGGUUUUGAUAGUCUGACGGCUCCAAUAAAAGUCUGACGGCGAAGUUUUAAAAAUACAUUUUAUUAACGAAUCCCGUCUGCGCACCAAAUAGCGUUUGAUUGCUGAACUCACUGUCGAUUUUCGCUGCAAUCUUUCCGAAAUCCGCUUGGCUAAUAAUUAAUUACUUAUCAAAGCUGUUGGCCAUCUGAGGCGUUAACUUUCCACGAAUAUCUCGUUAGGACAUAUAGCAUUAAUCAAACGCCGCACGGCACCACCCAGCGGCGAUAGUCGUAUGAGUGUGUGUGCGCAUCAAACAAGAGUGCUUUGCUCGGCAUGCAAUAAAAAAUAGAACAAUUAAGCACAUACAUUCCAACGCACUUGUCAUCAUCACUAUUCGCAACAAUUUCAAGAGAAUCUCUAAAUUUAUAACGCACUGAUAUUAAGUUAAUUGUUUUUUUUUUGCAACAUUAUUUAUGCCGUUAUAAAAAUUCUGCUCGCAGUACUGCUACUUUUAUCGCUAAAUAGAAUCGUCGCGCAAAAUAAUAAGCGCGCUGAGCGCAUGCGCCGCGACAAACGAUUUUUCGGUUCUCAACUUUUGAAUGUCCCAGAAAUCACUACAAUGACCUUGUGAACGCGUGCGCACACCCGUGCGCUUCCUGGAAACCGUGCCAUAAAUCUUUCCCCAAAACAUUUUCACUGCUUCUCGUUAAUGAUCGCUUGGCAUUCGCUUGCUUUGUUUGCUGAGCGCUGUGCGGCGCUUAGUACAACAACACAACUAUUUGCAACAAAAUGUGUGUUGCAUAGUGUAUCUCUCGCGUCAUAAUGCGGAAGAAACCCACAGAGCUUGCUAACUCUUAAGCCGCAAACUGGUUCAAUGUACUGCGGUACAUGCUGUGCGAAAUAUGCUAAUUAAGGCGAGUUUAUAAAAAAAAUUUGCAAAAUUUUCGUUUUCAACUUCAUUCAUCUUCCGACGCUAUUUCUAAAUAAAUGUACAAACAUACGAGCUCAUGUUCAAAUAUUUUUUUAUUCUAAUGCGUGUGGCUCAUCGCACGCUAACAGAACCCCGUAGCUAUCUAUAUACAUACAUAUGUAUGUGUGUUUGUUAUUAAUCUUGAAUAAUAGAAAAAGUAUAGAACCAGGUGACAAGGUCGUUUCUUGGCCUACCCAAAAGCAUGAGGUGCUAAAUGUGAGGAUGUGCCGUAGAAAUUAGCAUAUUUUGUCCAUUUUAUUUGAUUAAGAGUUUUGAGAACACGCCCAAAUAAAGUGUUUUUUUAUUAAAUGCGACACUCUUUUUUGGUAUUAUGAUGAUUUUUAGUUAUUUUGCGAAUUUAUGUGUACAUAUUUCCACCUUUGAAAGAUAUGUCUGCAGAAUGUUCUUAGCAGAGACUGCAGUCAUUAUUACUAAUUAACGAUUUACCAACUGCUCCUAUAACUUGUUUCUAUUAAAGGUAUAAGAAACGAUUUCGAUAUUCUUUGUCCAGUACACAUUUGCGUUGAUUUAUUCUGGAUUCUAAAGACUUGCAGAAGAAACACCGUCAUAACCAACUAGCGUCUUUACAUAGACGGAAACGUAGGAUACAAAUGUGUAUGUGAUUCUACGAUGACCUUGUCACCAUAACGAUGUUGCCGGAAGGAAGAAGGUUGUGUAAAAUAUAUAUUUGGAGUGUUACUAGUCUUUAAAUACAUCAAAAACUUCCAUUAAGGCAUCUCAUAGUACAAUUCUAAAUAGCAUUGUCUAUACAAAGGACAUUUUUUAUGGAAUUAUGUACAGUGGAACUUCUCUAACUCGAAUCACCAUAAUCUACCAAAAAACUUCGAGUUAGAGAGGCUUUGAGUUAUAGAAUUUUCAUUAAAACAUACAAUUUUUCAAAAAACUGUAAAAUAUGGAUUUAUACACAGUUUUAGUUAUUUACUUCGGAUAAAGUUUUAUGUUUACUUAAAACUUGUAUUCUCUAAUUCUGUUUGUUGCGUUUGCUACUGUUUGGCUCUUGACGUCUGUAUCCUAUGCCUUUGUUACAUGAUUUAUGCAAUCCAUAAGUGUAAUAUCAUGUUUUUUGUUAGUCUCCGUACGAUAUAGAGAAACUCUUCUUAAAUAAUGCCUCGUUAGUAAAAUUUUAAAUUUUGUAUUAUCCCCUGGUCGGAGAGUUCGAUUCACGGAAUGAAUUUUGUAUGAAAUUUUACUUCUAUUGCCAUUUCAUGAGUUCGAGUUAUAGAAGUUCGAGUUAUGGAAGGAAAUUUGUAUGUAAUUUGAUUUCUAAACGCUAUUGCCAAUUAAAAAGUUCGAGUUAUGGCGAACUUCGACUUAUAGAAGUUCGAGUUAUGGAAGUUCCACUGUAGUUCUCUGCUCCUGAAUUUUUUUGUUUGCUCGUUUUUUAAGCUUAUUAGAGAAUAUCUUCAAAGCAUCAUAAGUGUUUAAUACUAUAAUUAGAACCGUUACUUUUUUCGUUUUUAGACAAGAAUUAGAAGAGAUUUCGCUCUAAAGAAAUCUACACAUAACAUUUUCACUCUUGAAUACCAAAUAACACGUCUCCAAAGAAGAAAGUAUUUAUCAUCUCUUUAUCUCAUAUGAGUUGUAUGUGUUAUUCCCAAAGCUGGGAGGUCUCUUUAUUCAGAAAACCAUAAAUGAAUAUUAACAUAAUUUCUUAAAUUAUAAUUAUUCAAAUGAAUUAUUACUUAAAGAAUGAACUACUUUCUAAAAUAAACUUGGGUAUCUUAAAAUAAACUUUCAUAAACAUCAAUAAAUAAUUGCACGAAGGAUUUUGAAAAUAAAAUUUCUGAGGCGCUUAUUUUCUUUUUUCUUUCCUUUCUCACACUAAUGAAAACAGAAAACUAAUCAUGGUUAAAUAAAUAGUGAAAUGAAUCGCUUACCUUGGCGUCCUGCUGAGCACCGCUGGCCACAUGCACCUUCUCGGCUGGCGCAUAAAUCGUAGUGCGACGCUUCAACGGCAACACUUUGAGCACCAUAAUUACACACGAACGCAAUUAAUUGCACUCACUCUCAGUUGAAUAAUUAAUAAUAUUAAUUGCAAUUAUUUAAACACUAAUUGAGUGAUAAUUUGGCAAUUGCACGGCAGCCAAAGCAGCGGAGGUCAAAACAAGUUGAACUUGAUGCUAGCUAGAAUUUAUGGUUUCGCGUGUGAUAAACGAGUGUGGGCGGUUGCUUAAUUUAAAUCGCCAAUGUCUGCGCUAAUUACGCUAUUUAUUUUUAUUUAGUUAUGUAUUUAUUUUUGUUUGCUUGCUUUUAGCCAGCAGGCGAAUUAACGCUCGGUGAAAUUGUGCACACAUGAAAGCUCAGCCGACACAAUGAGUGACACUAGCCGCAGCGACAAAUCUUGUUGCGAAAGCGUAAGUAGUUGAUUGACCGAUAGCAGCUGGCGGCUGGGCAAGCGUUUAUUUAUAUUUAUACAUUCGCACGUUUUGCUAACGCUUUUUGUUGCGCUGGGAAACGUGAUGAAUGGUGGCUAUUGGGAUAUUAUGGCUUGCAGCUGAUCGAUGAUCGUGAUUGGCGCACGGCGCAGCGCGGCACUUUCAACCAACUUAACAAUGCUUCAACAUUUAUUUUAUUAAUUAUUGCUCAACACUUCACUUCACUAAAAAAAUUACCGUUAUAGAAAGAAGCACCCAACUGAUAUACACUGGAGCAGUGAAUAUGCGAUCGAUAGUGAUCUAUGCGCCACUGACUUUGAUUGAACAAUAACAGGCAACACUUGACAGCACUGAAAUUCGACAAUACUUUAUGUCAACGCGAUCUCAAAUUGCGGGUUCACUGUGUGUGAAACGAGUGAGUGACUGAUGGUGCGACAAUUUGUGCACAAAAGGACUGCUGCUGGACCGAUCAACCACGCACUGGACGACCGCACAAGUUCGCUGGCGGCACGGAAAUAACACUUCAGCAAUAAUGAAAGCUUGCCUAAGAAGUGUUGAACAUAUAUAAAUGUUUCAACAACAAUACAACAACAUCCGAGCGUAGAAUAAAAUAAAAAGCAUAAAUAAGAAUAAGAUCAAUGGGAGCAGCAACAGCUGUGGUAAAGCGCCCGAAUGAACCACAACACAAAGCACAUAUGCAUACACACUAGUGAGUAUAUGUGAGUGUGGCUCAAGUUUGCCAUACAGAACGCUUAUUCAUGGAACAUAUGGAAAACUCAUAAAACGUCUUCAUCGAUGACGUCGACGGCGAUGUUGCCUGUGACGUAGUCACAAUGAUGCGUAAGCCUUUUUAACGGCCUGUCUGACCGCUGAUCGCCGAUCGCCUGCACUAAAUCACUCAUAUUCGUAAAUGCGUGCGUGUAUGCAUGUGUAUAGAUGUCACUCAGUCAAUCAGCUGGCCAGUGAAGCGUUCAGCCAUGCGUUUUCAAUUUCGUAGAUCACAACCAUGUUUUCAGCCGCAUAAUCCACUGUCAUUAAGAGCCACAGCAGCUGCCGGAAACGAUCAACAGCACUGCCCAACGGCAUUUGUUAGUACAAUGCGCACCAGCCCAACGUCAAAUCGCAUCACAUCAACAUAAA